GGCAGCUCGUUCCUUCGCAAUCUAAUGGUGAAUUGCUAGCAUUUAAGAUAAAUGCCAACUGCACAUGGCUGGCCUGGCAACAACAGCCAAAAACAACAACAAGUGCAAGCCUAUUCAGCUUUGUCUGCCGUGCUAGUCAAGUCAGCCUGAGGAAAUAAUCUGCAUAUAAAUAGUGUAUACUAAAUGUGCGUGUAAAUAGUAGAAGCGAUGCCACUGCACGCCCUCUGAGUUUUAUGCACAACUGCAUUUUAAUUUUAUUUUUGUGCAACUAUCUGCACGUUGAACCGUGAAAAUGAAAUUGUUUGGAAAACGAAUCCUUCGAAAGUUGCACGGAAAGACAUUCAAUAUUUAGCCAAGUAUUGUAAAUGCUUCAAGCUACAAGUAUUUUCCCCAUCUACCCGAAGGCUGAACGCUUGUACUCGACAGUCUAAAAGCCACAUGAAUUUAAAAUGAAGGUAAAAGUAGGCGUACCCGACCCCAUAUUGAUGAACAAGUGAAAACAAUUCGUUAAAAUCUACUAUUGUUGCAAAAAUUGCAAAUAAAAUUCUACAGAACACAUUAAAUUUCAACAAUUCUACAGUGAAAUUCUUUAAUAUUGUAUUAGUUUUAAAAAUGCAUAAAAUAAUCCCAAAAUUGUAUAUUUGCGAAUACCAUAGCGAAUAGUUGAUAAAA